UACGGGGGGAGCAAGCGUUGUUCGGAUUUACUGGGCGUAAAGGGCGCGUAGGCGGCCACCGCAAGUCGACUGUGAAAUCUCCGGGCUUAACCCGGAAAGGUCAGCCGAUACUGCGGGGCUAGAGUGCAGAAGGGGCAACUGGAAUUCUCGGUGUAGCGGUGAAAUGCGUAGAUAUCGAGAGGAACACCUGCGGCGAAGGCGGCUCGCUGGGCCAUUGCUGACGCUGAGGCGCGAAAGCGUGGGGAGCAAACAGG
rnacentral:rRNA from 1 species